GUGGGUAUAGCUUAGUGGUAGAGCACAUGCUUAGCAGCGUGAGGUCCUGCGUUCAAGCCCCAGCACCUACA
rnacentral:tRNA from 1 species